rnacentral:rRNA from 1 species
UACGUAGGGUGCGAGCGUUAAUCGGAAUUACUGGGCGUAAAGCGUGCGCAGGUGGUUGUGUAAGCCAGAUGUGAAAUCCCCGGGCUCAACCUGGGAAUGGCAUUUGGGACUGCACGGCUAGAGUGUGGCAGAGGGGGGUGGAAUUCCGCGUGUAGCAGUGAAAUGCGUAGAGAUGCGGAGGAACACCGAUGGCGAAGGCAGCCCCCUGGGCUAACACUGACACUCAUGCACGAAAGCGUGGGGAGCAAACAGG